ensembl:lncRNA
UCUUUAUACUUUCUUUUUGUGAUCCCAUGGACUUUAGCCUGCCAGGCUCCUCUAUCCAUGGGAUUCUCCAGGCAAGAAUACUGAAAUGGUUUGCCAUUCCCUUCUCCAGGAGAUCUUCCUGACUCAGAAAUUGAACCUGGGUUUCCUGCAAGAGACCCAGGUUUCCUGCAUUGCAGGCAGAUUCUUUACCAUCUGAGCCACCAGGGAAGCCCUUAAAUUUUCUAAAUCUUUGUUGAAAACUUCUAACUUCUUGCUCUAGGCAGCUCAUUUUGCCCAGGUCACUAUUCUUACGUUUAUGUGUCUGGUAGGGUGGUGCCAUUUCCCAACUCUGGAGAAGUGACUUCUGCAGAAGUCCUGUGUGUCCCGGUAGUGUCCCCUCUCUGUCCCCUCUGUGUGUCCCCUCUUUUCACUGGAGCUUUAUGCUCUAUGGGGUUCCCCAUGAUGUCCACGUGGGUCCUGAUAUGCGGUUGAUCUGGUAGUCUAGGACAGCCCCUGUUCAGGUCGGUUGCCAGGCUCUGCCCUGUGAGGAGGCUGCCACCUGCUGGUUGGUGGGGCUGGGUCAGGCAACCACUGAGUCUAGAACCACCAGUCUCCCAUCCCGCUUGGGCUAGUUCUGGCAUAUUGGUGGGCAGAAUCAGGGUCCAGAAGACUCUGGGGGAUGUUACAGCCCACUAGUGGCUGAAGCCAGAUCCUGGGAUUAGUUUUACCAGGUCCUGGAGUCCUGGGGACUGGUUGCAGGGCUCAGGGAUUCUAGCGUUGGUGUCAGGUUGCUCGCUGGGGACAAGGAGAGGAGGGGAGAGCAGUUCCUAUCACAGUGGAGUACAGGUUCCAGGGAGUCCUGAGGCUUGUGUCGGCCUGCUAGUGGGCAGGACCAGGGUGCAGCUGGUUUUAGGACACCAUCUGGCCUGCUGGAGUCAGCACUGUGGCUUUCUUGAAUGUAGGGUCUGCGCCCUGGUCCAGAGACAAGGGCAGACUGCUUGGAGGGUAGGGUCGGAACAGGGGAUCUGGGACGUUGUCUGCCCUCUGGUGGCAGAGGCUGUGUCGAGAGGAGGCUGUGUGCAGAGGAGGUCUUAAGGCAGCCUGUCUGUUGAUAAGUGGAGUUACGUCCCCACCCAGUUAGUUGCUUGGCGUGAGAUGUCCCCCAGCACUGGCAUCUACAGGUUGUUGGGUGUGGCCAGGUCUUUGCGCUCAGGAAUCCUUAGCACCUGCAUCAGGUGGAAGGAAAUUCCAAGAAUGUCUGCCGCCAGAGUCCAGCUCCCGAGGAUGAGCCCCGGCUGCCCCCUGUUCCUCCAGGAAACUCUUUAAGCCCAGCAGGAACGGUGUAUUCCAGGAGCCAAAAAACUUCCCCAAAUGGCCAAAACCAGAAACAUGCUGUAUCCAUGGUAUGAAGGUACUGGGGAGAUUCACAGACAGAGGAGAAAACACCACCAGGUCUCAGAGAAUCAGGGUUUUUUCCCAAUGAAUCGGCUCUUCGCAUCAGGUGGCCAAAGUACUGGAGUU